GCCGGUGUGGCGGAAUAGGCAGACGCAAAGGACUUAAAAUCCUUCGGGAGCAAUCCUGUACCGGUUCAAGUCCGGUCACCGGCA
rnacentral:tRNA from 1 species